AUUGAACGCUGGCGGCAGGCCUAACACAUGCAAGUCGAACGGUAACAGGAAGCAGCUUGCUGCCUUGCUGACGAGUGGCGGACGGGUGAGUAAUGUCUGGGAAACUGCCCGAUGGAGGGGGAUAACUACUGGAAACGGUAGCUAAUACCGCAUAACGUCGCAAGACCAAAGAGGGGGACCUUAGGGCCUCUUGCCAUCGGAUGUGCCCAGAUGGGAUUAGCUAGUAGGUGGGGUAACGGCUCACCUAGGCGACGAUCCCUAGCUGGUCUGAGAGGAUGACCAGCCACACUGGAACUGAGACACGGUCCAGACUCCUACGGGAGGCAGCAGUGGGGAAUAUUGCACAAUGGGCGCAAGCCUGAUGCAGCCAUGCCGCGUGUAUGAAGAAGGCCUUCGGGUUGUAAAGUACUUUCAGCGGGGAGGAAGGGGGUAAAGUUAAUACCUUUGCUCAUUGACGUUACCCGCAGAAGAAGCACCGGCUAACUCCGUG
rnacentral:rRNA from 1 species